rnacentral:lncRNA from 1 species
CGGUCUGGCUAUGCUGUCCCCUGCUGAACCUCUUCCUGGGAGGGGCCUCAGGGGUUCUUGCUCACUCCCAGUGUGCCUGAAAACCUUCCAGGAGGACGCUCGCCUUCCACUGUCCACAGCCCCCAUCAGAUGUAGAAACUGAAACCCAGCUUGGGGACCGCCUUCCUGAGGACACAACGCUGGGUAAGGCUGGGCUUGGCCCUGCUGGGGAAAAGGGGUCAGGGUGGGAUCUGGGGAGCAGGAAGCUGUCCACUGUAGGAAGAGGGGAGGGGAAGACCCAGAGAAAGCCCCGGCUCCUGGCCGCUCCCCAGC